GACGAACGCUGGCGGCGUGCUUAACACAUGCCAGUCGAACGCUGAAGCUCAGCUUUUGUUGGGUGGAUGAGUGGCGAACGGGUGAGUAACACGUGAGUAACCUGCCUCCUUCUUUGGGAUAACGCCCGGAAACGGGUGCUAAUACUGGAUAUUCACUGGUCUUCGCAUGGGGGUUGGUGGAAAGGGUUUUUCUGGUGGGGGAUGGGCUCGCGGCCUAUCAGCUUGUUGGUGGGGUGAUGGCCUACCAAGGCUUUGACGGGUAGCCGGCCUGAGAGGGUGACCGGUCACAUUGGGACUGAGAUACGGCCCAGACUCCUACCGGGGGCAGCAGUGGGGAAUAUUGCACAAUGGGCGCAAGGCUGAUGCAGCGACGCCGCGUGAGGGAUGGAGGCCUUCGGGUUGUGAACCUCUUUCGCUCAUGGUCAAGCCGCAACAAUGGUUGUGGUGAGGGUAGUGGGUAAAGAAGCGCCGGCUAACUACGUG
rnacentral:rRNA from 1 species